rnacentral:rRNA from 1 species
GACGUAGGGGGCGAGCGUUAUCCGGAUUUAUUGGGCGUAAAGGGCGCGUAGGCGGUCCGCAGCAGUGGCGCGUGGAAUCCCCCGGCUCAACCGGGGGGGGCCGCGCCAGACGGGCGGACUUGAGGGCGGCAGAGGGCCACGGAACGGGCGGAGUAGGGGUGAAAUCCGUAGAGACCGUCCGGAACACCGAUGGCGAAGGCAGUGGCCUGGGCCGUACCGCUCAUCCGUCCCGCAAGGGGCGGGUGGGUCCUGACGCUGAGGCGCGAAAGCGUGGGGAGCGAACGGA